AGAGCUAGAGCUGAAACAACUAAUCGAUUAUAAUCGAUUAUUAAAAUAGUUAACAACUUUUUUAGUCAUCGAUUAGUUGUUUAAUAAUCAUAUUUUACCGCAUAAACUCUAUUUUUUACCACAAUCUGACAUCAGUUACAAUCUGUUAAAUUUGCCGCCAGUGUGUGGCAGUAAUGAGCCACUGAUCUACCAGUGGGGCCGUAGAAGAAGAAAUUAGCCAAUAAGUGCCCUCGGUUUUCAUGACGUAACACGUUACUGACGCGCAUCUUGCUGUGAGAGAUGGCGGAUCAACAACAAAUACGGAAGAAAAAUAGAAGCGUCAAAACAAGAGAAACCCCGGACAAAAACCUCACGAGUAUGGGAGCACUUCACUAGAUGCCUUGAAAAGACCGGUGACCUACAAAAUAUGCAAAAACCAUGGCACGACGGAAGCACGACGUCCCUAAGUGAACAUUUGAGACAAAAACGUGGGGGCUGAUGCAGCAGAGGAAUGUCCGAAAAAAACAAGCAACGAUGGACAACUACAUGGGGAACAAGACACUCACCCCCAGCAAUGCAUACCACUUACAAACUCUAUUCCAGAUUCUACAUUAUUUUUUAUGGAAUUUACCUCUUAUAUUUUGAUGCCAAAAAAUUAUUCUGGACUGAUAUUUUGCACUGUUUAGCUCAUUUUACACUGCUGACUGUGGUCAUGUGCAAUAAAAUAGAUUGCAGUCAACUGCACAAUUC